AACCACAGGUCAUAAGUAUUUUUCAUAAGGCUCACACAAGGGACAUAUAAAUGACUGAAUAUUAAGUAAUUAAAUUUGGGGAGUCAUGAUCUGAAGACAUGGAUCGUCAGCCACUGUUUCUUCAGUGGAGUGGAGGCUUCAGUGACAUGCUUCAUGGAAAUCACAGGUGGAACAAAUUUAACAAUGGAUCAGUUCCUUCAAGUGUCCCAGCAAGCCGUGUCAGCGAGCCAGCACGCACAACACCAGAACCCUGGAGCUAGCUCAACUAAACAGAACACAGUUGUUUUUUGAAGUUAUCAGUUACACCUGUGUUUAUACCGUUAUCAUGCCAAAAUAUCUGCUGUGAAAAAAGGUUUAUAGCAAGACCUGAAACAUCAAAGUGGAAUUCAGUUAUCAUUGAUUUUAUUAUCUAUACCUGUACUUUUCCAAAUGUGACAUGCCAAUAAGUUUUCCUUGAGGUAUGCCUAUCAAGCUCAGUCUGUACAUGGCCACACAGCCCUGAGAGGAGGCCUCAUCAGCCAAAAUAAGCAAAAACACUUAUGUGGGCGUACCGUGGGUGUGUGGACCAACAGUUCAAAGUCAAACACAAUUACAAAAACAGACAUGUAUAUUUACUUUGAGCUCACCAGUUGUUACUAGUUUUACAUGUUGUGAACUGUACUAUCUGCCUAACAAUCUCUCAGUGGGAGCUUUGAGAUAUUUAUAAAUUAGAAUUAGCUUUCAUAUAACAUUUAUUCAAUUAUUGGUUAAUUUGUUUAACCUGAUAAACCCAACAAAAAAAAAUGUUGCUUGAGGCAACAGCAUUUGUCUUUGACUGUUGCACCACUACCAUUUUGUGAGGAAAAAUAGACUGGGAAAAAAAGUGUAGACACAACAUCCUUCUGUACAAAACAGACCCAGAGGAGUCAUCAUCCCAUCAAAUCAACUCUCCACACAGUCUAUUUCGGAGCUGAGAA